GCGGACGGGUGGGUAACGCGUGGGUAACCUGCCUUAUACAGGGGGAGUAACAGUCAGAAAUGGCUGCUAAUACCGCAUAAGCGCACAGAGCUGCAUGGCUCAGUGUGAAAAACUCCGGUGGUAUAAGAUGGACCCGCGUUGGAUUAGCUGGUUGGUGGGGUAACGGCCCACCAAGGCGACGAUCCAUAGCCGGCCUGAGAGGGUGAACGGCCACAUUGGGACUGAGACACGGCCCAGACUCCUACGGGAGGCAGCAUG
rnacentral:rRNA from 1 species